UCCCGGCUAGCUCAUUUGGUAGAGCAUGAGACUCUUAAUCUCAUGGUUGUGAGUUCGAGCCCCACAUUGGGUG